GCUGGGAUGGCCGAGUCGUUAAGGCGAGUGAUUUGAACGAAGGUAGAUCGGCAUUACGACCCGAUCAUCUCAUUAUCACUUGGUGUUUCACCGCGUAGGUUCAAAUCCUGCUCCCAGCG